rnacentral:rRNA from 1 species
GAUGAACGCUGGCGGCGUGCCUAAUACAUGCAAGUCGAGCGAACAGAUGAGGAGCUUGCUCCUCUGACGUUAGCGGCGGACGGGUGAGUAACACGUGGAUAACCUACCUAUAAGACUGGGAUAACUUCGGGAAACCGGAGCUAAUACCGGAUAAUAUAUUGAACCGCAUGGUUCAAUAGUGAAAGACGGUUUUGCUGUCACUUAUAGAUGGAUCCGCGCCGCAUUAGCUAGUUGGUAAGGUAACGGCUUACCAAGGCAACGAUGCGUAGCCGACCUGAGAGGGUGAACGGCCACACUGGAACUGAGACACGGUCCAGAGUCCUACGGGCGGCAGCAGUAGGGAAUCUUCCGAAAUGGGCGAAAGCCUGACGGAGCAACGCAGCGUGAGUGCUGAAGGUCUUCGGAUCGUAAAACUCUGUUAUUAGGGAAGAACAAAUGUGUAAGUAACUAUGCACGUCUUGACGGUACCUAAUCAGAAAGCCACGGCUAACUACGUG